UCUGCUAUAUACCUGAGCCCCAUCUUCUAAAGACAGGCUUCGAUCUUUAGCUGGCUGAGUGGCUUGGGCCUACCACAUCUUAUGUAGAGUUUACUUUCUACACCUCUAUGUAUUUCUACUCGAGGUAAUCACGUAUAUCCCUGUUCUAUGUGCUUGGACUUCUGGUGAGAUCUUGACUCCUUAGCGAGGGCUAUGGACUAUUAUCU
rnacentral:lncRNA from 1 species